AUCGACUUAUUGAGUUACUGAUUGGAUUUUUUGUCGUGUUUAGGAUGUAAUUGGGAUUGUCUUCCCAUCUGGACCCAAUAAUCUUUAUUGCGGUAGCAAGGACAAAUCUCUUCGAGUUUGGGAUUGUAAUAGUGGACAGUGUGUGGAUGUAAUCAACUUUGAUGAAGAGUGUGGGACUUUGGUUGAAGAAGGUCCAUGGAUCUUUGCCGGGCUUCGUGAUAUGAUCAAGGCUUGGAAUCGUGAAACGCAAAAUGUUGUAGUCAUUCUAGAAAGUGGUGGAAUGGUU